CAUUUCCCUGGACCAGCUGGUGCUCUCAGGUGGAGGUUGUGUCAAUCACCCUGGAUGAAGGAAGAUGUUUGUCUUGCUCUGCUCUCUGGGUCCCAGUGAUAAACAGAUAAGGAUGUAAGCUCUCAGCUACUGCUUCAGCGCCAUGCCUGCCUGCUGCCAUGCUCCCCACCAUGAUGGUCAUGGACUCACCCUCUGAAACUAUGAACAAGGCCCACAUUAAAUGUUACCUUUAUAACUUUC